rnacentral:misc_RNA from 1 species
UUUCCAGGAAACCUUUAAUGAUCGGAAAAUCUGCAAAUAAGACGUCAAAAUGUCUGAUUUGUUUUAACAAUUUUACCUGCUUCUUUUCUUAAAUUGAUAUAUGUUUAAUUUUUUGUUUUUUAAAUUCUUAUUUUGCUGUUUCAAAAAAAAAAAAAUUGUUGUUUUGCAGGCACUCGAGCGACUCUCCUUUGGAGGAAGCCACAUU